UGUAUUCUUGCACAUAAAGCUUUGCCACAUCUCCCUUUCCAAGUUUCAAACCAUUUCCUGGUUUCUGUACUAUUUCUGCAGAAAGAACAUUAGAGAGAGGGAGAAUAAGUGAGAGAGUGAUAGAGAGAGGUAAAAGAGAGUGAGUGAGAGAGAGGGAGAGAUGAUGGGAUAUGAUGGAGGAGAGACAGCAAUUCACCACUCUAUUCCUGUGAUAAUGACACAGCUAGCUCUCUGACAGACAGAAUGAGAUGGGGACCCAGGAGGCUGCUGAAGAUUUAGUAUGCUCGGGUCCUUGGGGUGCACUACUGUGGAUCUUCGAACUUAGAAGCAACACCAGAACAACUUUUAUGAUGAAAGCGUGUAGAUCCAGUGUGCAGUGGCAUCCAAAUACCAACGAUAAAGAUGGAGCUGAGAGAAUAAGAGAAGAAGAGAGAGAGUGAGAAUAAAAGAGAGAAAAGAG